rnacentral:rRNA from 1 species
GAUGAACGCUAGCUACAGGCUUAACACAUGCAAGUCGCGGGGCAGCAUGGGGGUUGCUUGCAAUCCCCGAUGGCGACCGGCGCACGGGUGAGUAACGCGUAUCCAACCUGCCCUUCACCACGGGAUAACCCGGCGAAAGUCGGACUAAUACCGUAUGUUGUCCAUUGACGGCAUCCGAUUUGGACGAAAGGUUUGGCGGUGAAGGAUGGGGAUGCGUCCGAUUGGCUGGACGGCGGGGGGACGGCCCACCGUGGCGACGAUCGGUAGGGGUUCUGAGAGGAAGGUCCCCCACACUGGAACUGAGAUACGGUCCAGACUCCUACGGGAGGCAGCAGUGAGGAAUAUUGGUCAAUGGGCGUAAGCCUGAACCAGCCAAGUAGCGUGCAGGAUGACGGCCCUAUGGGUUGUAAACUGCUUUUAUGCGGGGAUAAAGUGGCCCACGUGUGGGUUUUUGCAGGUACCGCAUGAAUAAGGACCGGCUAAUUCCGUG